AAACUUAGAGAUGAAUGAAGCACUG
rnacentral:piRNA from 1 species